rnacentral:misc_RNA from 1 species
CCACCUCCAUGCCCACCCCCAAUAAAUUUGCUAAACUAGUAUCCCACCUCUCCUCCUCCACUUCCACUCUCUUCACUGCCUCGUCCAUCCACCCUCCACUCCCCACACCAAUCUUCAUAACCCCAAGCCUUUGCUCCAGUCGCCUCGCAGAACCCUCCAGCCUAUCAAAUCUCUCAGCUGUCUCAAACCUCAGAUGAUGGACGUCAGCCAAAACGUGUGCCUGCAUCGGUACAUUAACAAACAUCGAAAUUUUCUUUUCAAGCUUUUCCAUCUUUCUAGCAAGUUGAAGGUUUUUGUAGACAUUCCAUCGAUUGGAGAGUAGGACCUUGCGGGCAAGCUCGAUGCCAUCCCGGAGAUUGUCCGAGAGGCGGUCGAGUUGGACUUGGCGCACCGCGGGAAGUUCGACACCGGAAUAUUUGAUUUCUUGAAUGAUGGGGAGGAGUUCAUUUAUGCUGGUUAUGAGCGAAUCCGCGCUCGUUUUACACAUUAAGGAUUUGCGCGAUAUUGUUAUUAACAUUUUGAGGAGCUCGGUGGCUAUCUCGCCGGAGAAGAAGUCUGUCACCCCCAUCGCCGUUGCUCGUGGCGCGGGUUUUGGGGGAAAUUAAGGCGGGCGAGUUAUCGAGAGGAGUAACAAAAGCUACCAAUGCGCAACGUAUAAAGUCCGAC